rnacentral:pre_miRNA from 15 species
CUGGGGUACGGGGAUGGCUGGUCGACCAGUUGGAAAGUAAUUUUUUAUAAUGUAUUUCACCUGGUCCACUAGCCAUCAGUGCCCACUGCAG